CCUACGGGAGGCUGCAGUGAGGAAUAUUGGUCAAUGGGCGCGAGCCUGAACCAGCCAAGUAGCGUGAAGGAUGACUGCCCUAUGGGUCGUAAACUUCUUUUAUAAAGGAAUAAAGUGAGGCACGUGUGCCGUUUUGUAUGUACCUUAUGAAUAAGGAUCGGCUAACUCCGUGCCAGCAGCCGCGGUAAUACGGAGGAUCCGAGCGUUAUCCGGAUUUAUUGGGUUUAAAGGGAGCGUAGAUGGGUUGUUAAGUCAGUUGUGAAAGUUUGUGGCUCAACCGUAAAAUUGCCGUUGAUACUGGCAGGCUUGAGUACGGUUGAGGUAGGCGGAAUGCGUGGUGUAGCGGUGAAAUGCUUAGAUAUCACGCAGAACUCCGAUUGCGAAGGCAGCCUGCUAAGCUACCACUGACGUUGAUGCACGAAAGUGUGGGUAUCAAACAGGAUUAGAUACCCGAGUAGUC
rnacentral:rRNA from 1 species